rnacentral:rRNA from 1 species
GAUGAACGCUGGCGGCGUGCCUAAUACAUGCAAGUCGAGCGAACAGACGAGGAGCUUGCUCCUCUGACGUUAGCGGCGGACGGGUGAGUAACACGUGGAUAACCUACCUAUAAGACUGGGAUAACUUUGGGAAACCGGAGCUAAUACCGGAUAAUAUAUUGAACCGCAUGGUUCAAUAGUGAAAGACGGUUUUGCUGUCACUUAUAGAUGGAUCCGCGCCGCAUUAGCUAGUUGGUAAGGUAACGGCUUACCAAGGCGACGAUGCGUAGCCGACCUGAGAGGGUGAUCGGCCACACUGGAACUGAGACACGGUCCAGACUCCUACGGGAGGCAGCAGUAGGGAAUCUUCCGCAAUGGGCGAAAGCCUGACGGAGCAACGCCGCGUGAGUGAUGAAGGUCUUCGGAUCGUAAACUCUGUUAUUAGGGAAGAACAAAUGUGUAAGUAACUAUGCACGUCUUGACGGUACCUAAUCAGAAAGCCACGGCUAACUACGUG